AAAUUUCAUAUUUUGGCCCUAAUAAAACACUCAAUAUCAAAAUUUAUACCUAUUAAUUUUUUGAACAAAUUGAUUCCUCUAAUUUGAAAAAGUUCCUAAAAUACCCCUAAAAUUAAAUUUUCACUAUCUCUCUGACUUUCCCUCUCUCUCUGGCUCUCUGACUUUCCCUCUCUCUCGCUCAAAGACUUUCCCUCUCUCUCGCUCUCUUCACGAACCCACACGAACCAGACCAACGUACCCACGGCGUCGACCACGAAACCAACAAACCCACGCCGCCGUCGACCACCCACGAACCCAACCCCACGAACCAAACCCAAUCGACGAACCGAGGAGAAACUGCCGUCACCACCACGAGGAGAAACUGCCGUCGCCACCACGAGGAGAAACCGCCGUCACCACCCACGAGCAAAAACCGUCGCCUACACCACGAAAUUCAGUCAAAGAUGGCUCCCAGACUCAUUAUUCCAGCACCCGAGCAUUUCACUGGCCGCGUCACAUAUAGGGGCACUGGAAUUUUUGCAAAAAUUAAAGCUCGGUUUGAGGAGUUCAACCUUAAUAACACGGCGAAGGAAAGCCGUUUCGGGAGCUUCUGGAAUGCCGUACCACUGACAUUCUCCUCGGUGUUAU